rnacentral:rRNA from 1 species
UCCGGUUGAUCCUGCCGGAGGCCACCGCUAUUGGAAUCCGAUUAAGACAUGUGAGUCGAGAGUCUUCGGGACUCGGCAGACGGCUCAGUAACACGCGGAUAAUCUGCCCUUGGGUGGGGAAUAAUCUCGGGAAACUGAGCAUAAUACCCCAUAGGCCUGAGAUGCUGGAACGCCCUCAGGCUAAAAGCUCCGGCGCCCAAGGAUGAGUCUGCGGCCUAUCAGCUUGUAGUUGGUGUAAAUGACCAACUAGGCGACGACGGGUACGGGCAUUGGGAGAUGUAGCCCGGAGAUGGACUCUGAGACACGAGUCCAGGCCCUACGGGGCGCAGCAGUCGCGAAAACUUCACAAUGUGGGAAACCGCGAUGAGGGGAUUCCAAGUGCUUGCGUUUUGCGUAAGCUGUUCUCCUGCCUAAAAAGCAGGGGGAGUAAGGGCUGGGUAAGACGGGUGCCAGCCGCCGCGGUAAUACCCGCAGCCCAAGUGGUGGUCGAUAUUAUUGAGCUUAAAGCGUCCGUAGCCUGUCUGGUAAAUUCUUGGGUAAAUCGUGCAGCUUAACUGUCCGAAUUCCGGGGAGACUGCCAGACUUGGGACCGGGAGAGGUUGGAGGUACUCCUGGGGUAGGGGUAAAAUCCCGUAAUCCUGGGAGGACCAUCAGUGGCGAAGGCGUCCAACUGGAACGGAUCCGACGGUCAGGGACGAAGCCCUGGGUCGCGAACUGGAUUAGAUGCCCAGGUAGUCCAGGGUGUAAACGCUGCAGGUUUGGUGUUGGGGGCCCUACGAGGGCGCCCAGUGCCGGAGAGAAGUUGUUAAACCUGCCGCUUGGGGAGUACGUCCGCAAGGAUGAAACUUAAAGGAAUUGGCGGGGGAGCAC